ensembl:lncRNA
AUUAAUUCUUCAUUGCAACAGAUCUACAAAAGCUAGAAGACUAGCAAAUGUUUCCAUUUUUUUAUUACAGUACUGGUUGUAUGCAAUACUGAAGAUUGUCACAGAUGAAAAUAUUAUUAUUAGAAGACUUCUACAUCUGUAUUGACAUGAAAAUUUUUAAAAGCAUCUCUAUCAGAAAAUAUCAAACAAUUUGGAUGCAUGUACAAAAAAAAUCUCAUUAAUUUGAACAUAAAAGGAAUGACAGCAAGAGCAUGUGUCUAUCCUGAUGGAUCAGCAGCUAAGCCAGGGCUCAGCUGGUGGAAGUUAAUUUGUGCUCCAUGGUGCUUCUGGUACCUGUCUGAAGGGUCUAAAGAUUCCUAAGCUUCAACUUGCCAAGAGAUAAGGCUAAUACCAUGAUGAUCUACUGUAGAAGAAAACAGCUCUCUGUGCUUUUCAAAGUACAACUCAGGGAUGGGAGAGGUUUGUUUGUAUUUGAAUAUGUAGCUAAGCUUUAUAAAAUUUUGCUUUGAAGUAUGAGGUUCUUAAAUAAUACUAUGUGUGAUAACCAACCUGUUGGAAAACACAACUUACAGAUUUCUAGACACUUGGAAAAAAUGGUAUUUCUUCUAUGUGCUUCUUUAUUUCAUGCCUCUUUCCUACCCCAAUCAACUUAAUGCUUGUGUAUUUGUAGACUUUUGAAAGCAUUCUUUGCAAAUUUUCUUCAUAAAAAAUUGUCAUUCAUGUUCCCUUAGAGCGAAAAGCUUUAAUUUUGAUCCAUCUCUAGUGUUGUCAAGGUUUGUUGCAGUUCUUUUUGGUUUUGCCAUUUGAUUUCAUAAAUAAGGCUUCACUUUUCUAACAUUGUUCAUUGACCUUUAAUCUAAAGCUGAAACUUUAAUAGUGAUAGUGGAGAAUAACCACUACAGCUGAGGUUCCACUGUUCCACACAAUUCCCUUAACUACUAUUGCUUCAUUAUUAACAGAAACUCAAAAUACGCAGAAAUUUUGAAUUUCCAUCCUGAAUUUAAAGGUUAUCUGUUCAGAGCAAAAUAGUAAUACAAAGUUCUGCAUGGAAUAAUCAGAAUUAGAGUAACUACUCUUGUUUGGUCAGGGACCCCUGUUGUGGAAGCAGUACUCCUUGAUUCUGUUCGGAGUAGCAGAAUACUUUUAAGUCAGAACAUUUUUCCCAACCUGUGCUACUGUUAUAGCACUUCCAACUGAAGAUACUCUGUUCUAUAGCUCCUGCUAUUAAAAGGGCUCAUUUCUUCUCUCCCACACAAAUUUCUGUGAGCUGGUUAAGCAAACCAAAUCUAGGGAGUUCUAUUCUGUUUGGAGAUCUCUCUGCUUGACUGACCUGCAAUGCACUUUGAAACACUGGGUGAAAAAAAAUUUGAUAGGAUCACCUGAUUAACAGCUGUCCUUUAUUCCUGUUUAUGUAGACACAUAUUAUAGUAUCCAUCCACAAAGACUGGACUUUCUGCUCAAAACCAACUAUAUAUCACUAGACAGGUUUUUAAUGCAAUGACAGAAAUAGUCAGAAUUCACAAGCUAUAUUCAGGUAGAUAUUCCAAACUAUCAGUGUUGGGAUUUUUUUUUUUUUUUUAGCUGGAAAGGAGUUACUAUAUCAAAGUAAUUUUUUUCCCAUCUCUAUUUGUAUUAAUAAAAAUAUAGAAAUUAAAGUAAAAAAUUUACA